UGGGUUGUAGCUCAACGGUGGAGUUCUCACCUGGCACGUGCAGGGGCUUGGGUUCAAUCCUCAGCACCACAU
rnacentral:tRNA from 1 species